rnacentral:piRNA from 1 species
UGGCGGUCUGCAAAUAAUUGAAGCCUCGGA